rnacentral:lncRNA from 1 species
AUGACGCAGGGGCUGUGGCCAAUGUCAGGUGCAUUUGCCUCCCCCCUGUGCUUGGAGGAGGGUUAUUUUUGGUCCUUGUUCUCUCACUCCCUUGCUGUCUACUUGCAGAUAUUCAUACGCACUUGCAUGAUAGUUGACUAUAGCAAACUUCCUGCUGGCAAAACCCUCCUGAGGAACUUGCAUAAAGGCUACAGCAACGUGCAGUUCAACUUCGACUCCAAGAGCACACACUGCAUAGUCAAGGGGCCGUUCACUGAGCUGCAGGCCUUCAGCAGAGACCUGCUGGGCAGCCUGAACCUCAAGAGCCAAGGCGCUGGCGAGAUCCUGCUGCCAGGAGCCAGCCACGUGGCCGAAGAGACCAGAACACAGAGUCACCCGCGAGCGCCUGACCCUGCUGCGUCAGCGCGAGAGGCAGCAAAGCUGCAGGACUGCGACCGGGUGUGUGAAACGGCACCUAAAGCCCCUUCACCUCGGGGCCCGGUGGAUGGGGAAGCUGUGGAAGUCCUGGAGGACUUUUCCCUAGUGGUGGACUCGGACAUUUACUUGUACAUGCAAAGGUUCUGUGCCGCUGAGUACCAAGGUGUGCUACGCCAGCAUCGUGUGGACGUGGUGGAUGUUAGCAGCGAUGGCAUCGCCAUACUGUACCUGCAGCCACCUGCAGGUGUGUCUGGGGCCAUGGAUGCCCUGCCACAGGCCCGUCUGGCCCUGCAGCAGCUCUACCAGCAGCUGGAGGUGAGCUUGCGCAAGGAGAAGAUCACCAAGGAAGGACUGCAUGUGGACAGCCAGGCACUCAGGGCUCUGACAUGUGAACUGCAGAAACUGUAUCCCCAGUUGCUCUGCCAUGAGGAUGAGAAGCAGCUUUAUCUCAUUGGAAACCUCGUUGACGUGUCCCAGGCCAAGCAGUACCUCCAGGAUUUCGGCACCAGAACAGGUGCCGCGCUCAGCAGCGACCUGCCCUCGCGCCCAGCGACCUCCCGCGCCCCAGAGGCUGCGCUGCACGAGCCCAGAGCGCUCCUGGACGCUUCAACCUCAAAGCUCAGCCCAGGCAAGCGGGAGCUGAAAGGUGAGCUCAAGCUGGCUGCCAGCUUCAGCGCCCUGAGGGCUGACAAGUCUCAGGCCAGCCGAGGCCUCUCGCAGAAUCGGGACUCCCCACCGGCGGGACAGGCGCAGCUCUCUGCAGAACUCGAACUGAAGAGAGAUGCUCUGGGUCCAAGUGACCCAGCAGCGCAGAGCCAGCAGUUCCAGCCUCAUGUCUCUACAGGAGAGGUGGUUUUGGGGCCAGCAGUGGAGUCUCAGCAGAAGGACUCCAAAGAAUGGGACCACCUGAAAGGAGGUGCCAGGCUGACACGACACAGGGCGCCGUCUCCUGCUGCGGGCAAAGGGAGCGGCACCUCGCAGCAUCCUGGGGACUCUCAAGGCUCAGGUGCCAUCAAGCACCACCCCCUCGCCAGCACAUCUAGUGCCUUUGAAGUGACAGGGACCUCCUCUGCUUUGGACGCUAAACCCUCUGGGCCCAGGCCCCUGCUGCGACGCUCCAACAGCUUCUCGCUGCCGAGGCCGACGGGAAGGGCCCAGCCCCAGGAGCCCGCCUGGGCCGGCGGCCGGGCGAGCGAAGCGAUGAGCCUGGACUCCCUGCAGUGGUCUUACCUGAAGGACGUUUGCCGCGCUGCCAUCGAUGAACUGUGCAGGGAUGGAGCUGUGCAGAUCUCGGAGCAUCGUAGCAGGGACUGCACGGUGCUGACGCUACGGGCCGCGGACAGGAGCGAGCUUCUCCAGGCUAAGUGGAAGGUGGAAGCUCUUGUGCAGAAGUGUCCUGACCUCGUGUGUCAGAGUAUGAGCUACUCGGAGCUCGCUGUCGAUGGUCCCGAUGACAGUGCCCUGAGCGAACUGUGUGGCCUCUUGCGAGGAAACUCCCCCCAGGUCGGACUCAGCAAAGACAAGUACAACCUGUAUCUUGCCUGCCCCAAGGAGAUGCUGCCAGGAGUGACCGAGGCCUUCCGCAUCUUUUCUUCCAUGAGGCUCCAUGCCCUGAAGUCUUCAUCCUUGUCUCCAGGGCAGGAGAGCAUGGGGCACUCGAGUGUCAUCCAGCCAAGCAGGAGCCAGGACGCGGUUCUGGGUGCAGCCCUUCCCGGCAGCCUGGAGCCCCUGCAGAUGGGCCUGCAGCACCUCAGCGUUUCCGAUGAAGCAGAGCACGCAGAUGUGCUCAGGGCCUUCCAGCUGCCAGCGGCUGAGGAAGAGAGGCCCCCCAGUCCGUGGGGGUUCCAGCAGGCACCGGGGCAGCAGGAGGGCAAUGGCCGAGUUGCUUCUGGGGCUGUGCAAGGAGGAAGCAGCCUUCUGAGCCCUGGUGUAGUGGACAAGCCAAGUCCUGCUGGCCUGAGGGAGUCCCCAGAACAGGCGAAGACAAAACUGUCUGCAGGAGAGCUUGACAUCGCACGGCUAAAGCAGGUUUUGCCAGACAAAUUCCAGUUUGCGAGAGACAGGAGCAGAGGAGGGCACAACGAAGCGAUGGGACAGCCGCGCUCGCCGGCGCCUGCCGCGGACGCUGCCCCUCUCUCCCUGCCCGCCUGGCUGUACCGGCCCGCGCCCCCCCGGGCACCUGCAGCGGAGCCCCACGGCCCGGNNNNNNNNNNNNNNNNNNNNNNNNNNNNNNNNNNNNNNNNNNNNNNNNNNCCCCGGGCCGCUGUGACGCCUGCCGGGGCUCGGGGGUGA